UACGUAGGGGGCAAGCGUUGUUCGGAAUUACUGGGCGUAAAGAGCUCGUAGGCGGUCUGUCACGUCUGCUGUGAAAACUCGGGGCUUAACCCCGGGCCUGCAGUGGGUACGGGCAGACUAGAGUGCGGUAGGGGAGACUGGAAUUCCUGGUGUAGCGGUGAAAUGCGCAGAUAUCAGGAGGAACACCGGUGGCGAAGGCGGGUCUCUGGGCCGUAACUGACGCUGAGGAGCGAAAGCGUGGGGAGCGAACAGG
rnacentral:rRNA from 1 species